rnacentral:tRNA from 1 species
CAGGGAGACCUUACCCACCUCAACUCGAAAGCACAAAGCAAAUAGAGAGAGGAUUGGUCAACCUAGGUCGGUCGAGGAAUUUGUGUGGCUCUCAAACUUGUCUGGGUUUACUUCUAAGAAGAAGGGAAACGAGGGCUAUUAGCUCAGGUGGUUAGAGCGCACCCCUGAUAAGGGUGAGGUCCCUGGUUCGAGUCCAGGAUGGCCCACCUUCAAAACGCUCAAGAGAGAGAUACCUCUUGGGGUAGCUUUGUCUCUAAAAACAGACUUCUGCAUAAAGAAGUCGAAAGUUUUGCCUUCAAAGAAGAAAGACAACAUGAGUUCAGCAACUUCUAACGAUUCAAACGAUUCAGAAGCCUGCUGAACUAAUGUUCAGCCAGAACCUUGAAAACUGCAUAGCAACAAAAGCCAAAGCAAGGUAGUCGAGAGUCAACAGCGAUCAAGCUACAAAGGGCUCACGGU